CAGCCGUUGGAGUCGAGGACGAAGCCCGACUCCCGUAGGAGUCCGGGCGGAGUCUUCCUGCAAUUAAAGUUAAAGGUGAAGUUCAGCUCCCGUAGGAGUCCGGACAAGGCUUACCGGCAGCUGAUGUUGAGGACGGAGCCCGGCUCCCAUAGGAGUCCGGGCGGAGUCUACUUGCGGUUGAGGUUGUUGGCGGAGUCCGGCUCCCGUAGGAGUCUGAACGAAGUUUGUCUACAGCCGUUGGAGUCGAGGAUGAAGUCUGGCUCCCGUAGGAGUCCGAGCGGUGUCUUCCUGCAAUUAAAGUUAAAGGCGAAGUCCGGCUCCCGUAGGAGUUCGGACAAGGCUUACCGGCAGCUGGUGUUGAGGACGGAGCCCGGCUCCCAUAGGAGUCCGGGCGGAGUCUACUUGCGGUUGAAAUUGUUGGCAGAGUCUGGCUCCCGUAGG
rnacentral:lncRNA from 1 species